rnacentral:antisense_RNA from 1 species
CGCUGAAUCCGAGAGUACAAAUGAAGUCACUGGGUUCCUGGGAAAGACAUGAGGCUGGAGAGCCAGGCUGGUAAACAGACAGCAGCCAAGGCAGGCCUGAGGAUGAAGAAGCAGGUCACAGAGCAAAGUCACUCCAUAGGAACCAGCUAGUGAGGCUGCCUGCUCUCCACUGGGAACUGGACCUCUGAUGAUGAACUUUCUUCUUGUGCCAUCUACUGUUUCAUCAAGCAAAGCUUCCUGAAGCAUCUGCUGUAUCAGGACCUCUGCUAAGAGACACAGAAGAGACUGUGACUACCAUUUCUAUCAGCCAAGUAGGAUACUAACAAGGCUCCAAGGAUUAAGGUCCCAGAAAGGCCUGCCACCCACAGAACUUUUGAGUCUACAGGAGCACCUGGAGGAUAGAUGGAAAGGAGGGACCAUUCCAAUAGCCUGCCUUCCUGGGAAGGAGAGACCUUUGCCCAGGAUUGAGGAGACCUGGGUCCUAUUUCCAACUUUGAUGAAGACAGUGGACUCCUCCGUGAGCAAUUUACUCAUCCUUGGACUUCCCACUCCAGGACUGAGAUGACAUUUGUCCUGUUGCUUCCACUGAAAGAAGAGCCAGAAAUAUGCCUUAGAAUUUUGGAAGAGAACUGCCCAUCUUCAAGGAUGGGUAUUGGUCUCCCUGGAAUAGCUGACAGCGUUCCUGAGGAAGAAUAAGAGCUCCUAGCUUCAUUGAUGUAGCUUCUUUUAGAUGGGUGGAAGCUCAGAUCCUGUUGGUGGAGUGUGUACAGGCAUGCCUUCAACAGGAAUAGAGAUUUCAGGAGGCAGUGAGCAGAUUCUAGCUCUGGCAUUGCUGGAGUGAGGAUAUGUCUGCCCUCCCAACCCUCCUCUACUUUUGGACUUCUAAAAAGUACCUGGACAAUUCAGGAGGGAGGUAGAUGACUGAAGUGUGAUUUUCAGAAGGCAGAAGGAGGCUCGUCACAGCCUACUUUAUCCAAAUGGGCCCUUAAUCUGCAGUCCUACCAGCCUCUCAAAGAGCGAAACUUUGCAGCUGGCAGAGACAUGUAUGACACACCUGUGCUGCCAAUCACUGAAGAAACCGUGUUUUGAGAAACCUAAGGAGAAAAACUCAGUGGCAAUUGCUUGUCAAUGAAAACAGACCUUGAGGAUGUUGCAGAAAGAAGAGAGAGGGCCUCGUUUUGGAGCUGCUCACCUCUGUCCUAAUACAGGGCACCAGGUCCUGUUCCAAUGGCAGACAGUGUGGGAAGGCAUUAAUGUGCCUGAGUUCUGCAGUCAGACAGCUGGUGUUGGAUCCUCUAACCAACUCUGUGACUGGACAGGAGUUAUAGCCUCUUUCCAAGUGAAUUAUGAAGAGCAAGAGCAAGUGUGGAUAAUAUGGAAGCUCAUUCCAGGAUGUUCAAGCUCAGUCACCCCCACCAGCCUGUUCGCCGUGUUAUCCUGCUGCUCUGCUGCCCCACUACUCCACCAGUCACGAUGGAAGAAGAGAUCGCCACGCUUGCCAUUGACAAUGGCUCCAGCAUGGGCAAAGCUGGGUUUGCUGGGGACGAUGCCCCCCAAGUCAUGUUUCCCUCCAUUGUCGGGCACUCCCGGCACCAGAGCUUGAUAGUGGGCAUGGGCCAGAAGGACCCCUACGUGGGCGACAAGGCCCAGGGCAAGCGCGGCAUCCUGACUCUGAAGUACCCCAUUGAGCAUGGCAUGGUCACCAACUGGGAUGACAUAGAGAAGAUCUGGGACCACACCUUCUACAAUGAGCUGUGUGUGGCCCUGGAGGAGCACCCAGUGCUGCUGAUUGAGGCCCCCCCCCCCGAAACCCCAAGGCCAACAGAGAGAAGAUGACUCAGAUCAUGUUUGAGACCUUCAACACCUCGGCCAUGUACGUGGCCAUCCAGGCCGUGCUGUCCCUCUACGCCUCUGGGCGCACCACUGGCAUUGUCAGGGACUCUGGAGAUGGGGUCACCCACACGGUGCCCAUCUACGUGGGCUACGUCCUCCCACAUGCCAUCCUGCAUCUGGACCUGGCUGGCCGGGACCUGACAGGCUACCUCAUGAAGAUCCUCACCGAGCCUGGCUACAGCUUCACCACCUCGGCCCAGCGGGAGAUCAUGUGCCACAUCAGGGAGAAGCUGUGCUACAUCACCCUGGACUUCGAGAAGGAGAUGGCCACAGCCGCAUCUUCCUCCUCCCUGGAGAAGAGCUAGAGCUGCCCAAUGGCCAGGUCAUCACCAUCGGCAAUAAGCGGUCCUGAUGCCAGUAAUGUGGCAAAGCCAAAAUUUUAACCAGAUCUGAUUUCAGAGCUCUGACCCAGAAAGUUCUUAUGCUCACAUUAGCUAUUCAGAUGUUAACAUUCGGUAUUUUAAAUUACAGAAUGAUACAUAUCUGAGAUAGACCUCUUCAAGUCUUCCUUAUAAAUUAGAAACAAGAUUUUUCAAACAGAAAUACUUUCAACUUUUCAAGAAGCUUUAAUUUUGUCUCAUAAAGUGUGAAUCGACUGGAUCUGUUAUUUAGAAUGAUUAGCACACUGGGAGUACUCACAGCAAAGCCUUUGAAAUUGAUAAAAAUAUGUGCUCUAAUCUGACAGAGAUCAUCCAUUUGUUACACCAUUCCAAAGUUCCCUAUUAUUGCCUGUGACAUUUCCCAAAUCAUCUAGAGAUUCAAGCUGUUAGAACAGUUUCUUUUAUCAGUCAUCUCCAGAGGCUCAUCAAAUUGAGAAUUGUAUAAUUUUUUUUUUUAGAUCUAUGUGGCACUUGCCACAGACAGAACCUUUGGAAGAUGAUGUUGUUGGCAUCUAGCCUUUGGUUAAGAUCAACACUUGAUGGGUGAUUUUUAAUAUUAAUAAAAACAGCUAGCUUGAUGUUAAGCCUUUGUUCUUUUAAAAGACCAAAGAGAAGAGAAAUAGAGUAACUACACUUGUGAGUUUUAUCACCUAGUAUACAUUAAUACAUUAAAUAUGAAAAUUCAGUGAAAA